UACGUAGGGGGCAAGCGUUGUCCGGAUUUAUUGGGCGUAAAGAGCGUGUAGGCGGCCAUACAGGUCCGUUGUGAAAACUGGAGGCUUAACCUCCAGACGUCGAUGGAAACCGUAUGGCUAGAGUCCGGAAGAGGAGAGUGGAAUUCCUGGUGUAGCGGUGAAAUGCGCAGAUAUCAGGAAGAACACUCGUGGCGAAGGCGGCUCUCUGGGACGGUACUGACGCUGAGACGCGAAAGCGUGGGGAGCGAACAGG
rnacentral:rRNA from 1 species